rnacentral:rRNA from 1 species
AACCGAGAUUCCCCCAGUAGCGGCUAGCGAACGGGGAGUAGCCCAGGGCAUGAAUCAGCAUGUGUGUUAGUGGAAGCGUCUGGAAAGGCGCGCGAUACAGGGUGACAGCCCCGUACACAAAAGCGCACAUGCUGUGAGCUCGAUGAGUAGGGCGGGACACGUGGUAUCCUGUCUGAAUAUGGGGGGACCAUCCUCCAAGGCUAAAUACUCCUGACUGACCGAUAGUGAACCAGUACCGUGAGGGAAAGGCGAAAA